CGUGUAGGCGGCCAAGUAAGUCGGAUGUGAAAGCCCGGGGCCCAACCCCGGAAUUGCACCCGAUACUGCAUGGCUGGAGUCCCGGAGAGGAUGGCGGAAUUUCCGGUGUAGAGGUGAAAUUCGUAGAUAUCGGAAGGAACACCAGUGGCGAAGGCGGCCAUCUGGACGGUGACUGACGCUGAGACGCGAAAGCGUGGGGAGCAAACA
rnacentral:rRNA from 1 species